CGAGUCCGAAACUGUUCCAUAUGUACUGUGUUUGCUUCAAUUAUCAGCCGAUUUUAUUUCUAGAGCGUGGAGUCGGAAUAUAGGCAACCAGUCUUACUGCAAACACAACAGCAUUGGAUUUUGAAAAUACACAAAGUGAAUGUGAUGUAUUGCGACUAAGCCUCGGAAAACAAUUAAAAGCGUCGAUUGGGUUAGCGAUGCUUUGAGGUUAUGUUAGUUGUGUUACGCUCUAGCCACUACUACGCGCAGGCGCAGCUCGCUGGAUACGCCCAAAAUCUACACGGGCGGCAAUCGCUCUGACCUGGUUGGCAUGUGCUCCAUUGUGUGGUAAGCGCCGACGCCGACAGUGGCCGUCUGGCCACCGCCUCCGCCUCCUCCCACGGGCGUGGGACACGCGCGCGUUGGAUAGUAGAGCCCGUUGCCGGCGCUACGGGUAUUCCACCGGAAAAAACAAAAACACAUUUGUUUCAAAAAAUGUUUGGGAGUGAUGUCAAUGUGGUUGCCUACAUCGAGCAGCUUGUGUUACCUUAGCAACCUUCACAGCAAAUAAAUAAAGCGCAGAACAAAA